rnacentral:rRNA from 1 species
UUAAAUUGAAGAGUUUGAUCAUGGCUCAGAUUGAACGCUGGCGGCAGGCCUAACACAUGCAAGUCGAACGGUAACAGGAAACAGCUUGCUGUUUCGCUGACGAGUGGCGGACGGGUGAGUAAUGUCUGGGAAACUGCCUGAUGGAGGGGGAUAACUACUGGAAACGGUAGCUAAUACCGCAUAACGUCGCAAGACCAAAGAGGGGGCCCUUCGGGCCUCUUGCCAUCGGAUGUGCCCAGAUGGGAUUAGCUUGUUGGUGGGGUAACGGCUCACCAAGGCGACGAUCCCUAGCUGGUCUGAGAGGAUGACCAGCCACACUGGAACUGAGACACGGUCCAGACUCCUACG